GUCAAGCUAAUAAGGGCUAACGGU
rnacentral:rRNA from 1 species